rnacentral:rRNA from 1 species
GCGUGCUUUACACAUGCAAGUCGAACGUGAAAGUAUCUUCGGAUGUAAGUAAAGUGGCGAACGGGUGAGUAACGCGUGAGAAUCUGCCCUUGGGUGAAGGAUACCCUAGAGAAAUUUAGGUUAAUACUGCAUAAGCCGAUUUAUCGGGAAAGGUGGCCUAUUUGCUACCGCGCAAGGAUGAGCUCGCGUACUAUUAGUUUGUUGGUGGGGUAAAAGCCUACCAAGACGAAGAUGGUUAGCCGACCUGAGAGGGUGAUCGGCCACAAUGGGACUGAGAUACGGCCCAUACUCCUACGGGAGGCAGCAGUGGGGAAUUUUGCACAAUGGGCGAAAGCCUGAUGCAGCGACGCCGCGUGGAGGAUGAAGGUUUUCGGAUCGUAAACUCCUGUUAAGUGGGAAGAAAGGCUGUGGGUUAAUACCCCGCAGAGAUGACGGUACCACUAGAGAAAGCACCGGCUAACUUCGUGCCAGCAGCCGCGGUAAUACGAGGGGUGCUAGCGUUAUUCGGAAUUACUGGGCGUAAAGAGCGUGUAGGCGGUCUUUUAAGUCUGUUGUUAAAUUACCCGGCCUAACCGGGUGCCAGCAAUGGAUACUGGGAGACUAGAGGACAAGAGAGAGAGGUAGAAUUCUCGGAGUAGCGGUAAAAUGCGUAGAUCUCGAGAGGAAUACCGAUGGCGAAGGCAGCUUCUUGGCUUGUAUCUGACGCUUAAGCGCGAAAGCGUGGGGAGCAAACAGGAUUAGAUACCCUGGUAGUCCACGCCCUAAACGAUGAUCACUAGAUGUUGGUCUUGCAUAGCGAGAUCUGUGUCGAAGCUAACGCGUUAAGUGAUCCGCCUGGGGAGUACGGUCGCAAGAUUAAAACUCAAAGAAAUUGACGGGGGUCCGCACAAGCGGGGAACAUGUGGUUUAAUUCGUCACUACGCGAGGAACCUUACCUGGGCUUGACAUGUAACUGCUACUGCUAGAAAUAGUGGGUUUCGUGCUUGCACGAACGGUUACACAGGUGCUGCAUGGCUGUCGU